UCAUCCUUGUUUUAUUAUUCAGUGCUUAUUUCCUUGUGGAUAUACAUCUUUACUAUCACAUAUGCUACAGAUCGUGAAUGAUUUUCUGUUUGACCUUGGUUAUUCUAUUGAAUACUGGCCUGAUGCACUAAGAAUUCCUCCCAACCUUUAUUUGCAUCACAUGUGUUUUUGAAUUUUCUAAACUCUAUCUGAGAAAGCAUAUAUUUGCUAACAAUUACAGCUCUGGUAGAGAAUCUUCUAUAUUGUUCUAUUCUUUGUUAUAUGAUAGAGCCCAAGGAAACCGAAGCAACUGAUUUAUGCAGGCAACUGAAUGGAUUAAAGCUCGAAAGCUCAUACCUGGAUGGUUUUUGUCACACCAAAAUGAAGUAUAAGAAAACCUUAUAAAAGAAGAUACAUACCUGUCUGGGCGUCCUUGCUAUCGUCGUUUCCAACCCAUCCGCAGGGUCUGCCACUCUUGGGUGCCCUUUUGGGUAAUGGUCUAGCUGUUUCCUUGCAUCCAUGCUGCUGCAGGGUUGUAGUCGUACCCGUGGCCAUGGUUAUCACUCAUCAACUUGGUCGUGCUCAUGUGGACUAUUUAUUUCCAACAAUGCCAUCAAACCAUCAGAGGUUCCUCGCCGGUUUCCUUUUGCUGCACCUUUGUUUGGUUGCUCUAGGGUGAGAGGACCUCUCUGCGUCUGUAUGCUGAUUUGGUCAUGGAAUUCGAGCCUCAUUUGCUGCACCUCUGGCAAUGAAGGAUCAGUACACGCCCAAUCUUCUGUGGCCUCCUCUCAUAAGAACUUCUACAUCGCUGUAUGAAAAUAGCUUUUCUUUGUCCAUGUGAUUAUUUGGGGAUUUUUGCCCAUAAAAAUAGCUUCUGAUGCCAAUACCGAGAUGUUAUUGAUGCAUGGUUGGAUUGGAUAUUCACAGAACUUUAUACCAUAUACUUUGGGCAUUGCUGAAACAACUGAAUGUCAAAGGUGCUUAUGGGUUGUCCUACAAUUUGUGUGGAUGUAUUUAGCUGUGGCGUUUAUGGUAGCUGCAGCAGCUUGUCAAUUAGUUCUUAGUCAAGGACAGGCACCAAUACAUGCUACCACUUAAUUCAGGUCAUGGUACCACUUAAUUCAGGCCAUUGUACCUGCAACGUCCGGUCUUCAUGGGAAUGCGUACCGCCGCCGAUCCUAUUGACCCGCACUCGAUCCCGACCGUCGAUUGGGGUCGAUGAACCCGGUACACGGGACACGGCGUCGACCCGCGUUCCCGGCUACUAUGGUCUUAACGCGAGGAGGUGCCGAGAUACACGAGGGGUUGGAGCAGGACUGCAAGAGGAGUUGAGGACAUGUUUUGUUUUAGAUCCACCUGAUUAGUCCCAAGUUUUUGCAAGGUCUGCUUCUUAUGCAGAGGUUUCUUUUGAUGGGCAGCCUAGCCAAUUAAUUAUGUUUGGAUCACUCUGGGCAAUUCUCUCUGGAGUUGAGAGUACUCUGAGCACUGCCCAUAGCGUGCCACGACGACCGUUUGCACUAUAGGAGCCUCGCGACACAGUCCUCAUAUGAGAAGUGGGGAUUCCACCAGCAUUCUCACAAAUAGGUACUAUUCAUUUUGCUUCAGAGAGAUGUCGGUUGAUGCUGCGUUUAACUGGAUUUGGAAAGCUAAGUGCAAUAUGAAAUGGAAAGGUUUUCGCCUGGCUUCUCUUGGCUAACAGGCUGAAUAUGAGAAAUAUGCCACGCAGGAGGCACUACCGAGUUACUAAUGACUAUACAUGCCUGCUGUGUGAUAAUCCUCCCGAGGAAACCCUGGCAAUUCUCUAGGGUGACUUGGCCAAACUCUGAAUGCAGACUUGAGAUGUUGCACAUGGGAAAACAAACUUGGCACAAACCUCUGUUCAUGGAAACUUUCAUUGUUGCCGUAUGGGGGAUCUGGAUGGAGAGAAAUGACAAGUCCUUCAGAGGAAUGCCCAUGCAAGCAUUAUCCAACAAUAACAAGUCUUCUUAUUCAUGCAUGCACACCCUUAGAAGACCACAAUGGGCCUAAGAAAUCUUCUCUGCUCAAAUUAUGUAUGCUUAUCUAUAUGAGGCAUCUCUCCUAUGUUGCUUGCUUUUUAAAAGCAUUGUAAAUGGCUAUAAAAACUUCUUAUAACGCUGUGUAUCAGCAUCAUACCUAAGUAUAUAUUUCCUUAUAACUAAAUAUUCUGACGAGCUUGCUUCAAAUGCUUGGUUUGCUCUCGCCCUUUGCGUCAUUGGCGCACCGGGUCAUCUAGUUACCACAAACAUCGAGAUGGUGUCGUCGCCGCCUGCAUUGUCACCGGGGCCCUCGCCUGGAGUGCGGUGGCAAUUGGCCACGAGAAGCACGAAGUCCUCCCUUUUCUUGCUCUUGCUCGCCUCCCCG